UACGUAGGGUGCAAGCGUUGCUCGGAAUCAUUGGGCGUAAAGGGCAAGUAGGUGGUCUCAUUUGUCUUGUGUGACAUCCUUGGGCUUAACUCAAGAAGUGCGCAAGAAACGGUGAGACUCGAGUUCUGGAGAGGGUCGUGGAAUUCCCGGUGUAGCGGUGAAAUGCGUAGAGAUCGGGAGGAACACCAGAGGCGAAGGCGGCGACCUGGACAGAUACUGACACUCAACUGCGAAAGCGUGGGGAGCAAACAGG
rnacentral:rRNA from 1 species